rnacentral:rRNA from 1 species
GACAGAGGGUGCAAACGUUGUUCGGAAUUACUGGGCGUAAAGCGCGUGUAGGUGGCGAGGCAAGUCGGGUGUGAAAGCCCUGGGCUCAACCCAGGAAGUGCACUCGAUACUGCCUAGCUAGAGUCCCGGAGAGGUUGGUGGAACUCUCGGUGUAGAGGUGAAAUUCGUAGAUAUCGAGAAGAACACCGGUGGCGAAGGCGGCCGGCUGGGGGUGACCUGACGCUGAGGCGCGAAAGCGUGGGGAGCGAACAGG